UGCGAAAUGUCCACUUACGAGC
rnacentral:piRNA from 1 species